GAUGAACGCCGGCGGUGUGCCUAAUACAUGCAAGUCGUACGCACUGGCCCAACUGAUUGAUGGUGCUUGCACCGGAUUGACGAUGGAUCACCAGUGAGUGGCGGACGGGUGAGUAACACGUAGGUAACCUGCCCCAGAGCGGGGGAUAACAUUUGGAAACAGAUGCUAAUACCGCAUAACAACAAAAGCCACAUGGCUUUUGUUUGAAAGAUGGCUUUGGCUAUCACUCUGGGAUGGACCUGCGGUGCAUUAGCUAGUUGGUAAGGUAACGGCUUACCAAGGCGAUGAUGCAUAGCCGAGUUGAGAGACUGAUCGGCCACAAUGGAACUGAGACACGGUCCAUACUCCUACGGGAGGCAGCAGUAGGGAAUCUUCCACAAUGGGCGCAAGCCUGAUGGAGCAACACCGCGUGAGUGAAGAAGGGUUUCGGCUCGUAAAGCUCUGUUGUUGGAGAAGAACGUGCGUGAGAGUAACUGUUCAUGCAGUGACGGUAUCCAACCAGAAAGUCACGGCUAACUACGUGCCAGCAGCCGCGGUAAUACGUAGGUGGCAAGCGUUAUCCGGAUUUAUUGGGCGUAAAGCGAGCGCAGGCGGUUGCUUAGGUCUGAUGUGAAAGCCUUCGGCUUAACCGAAGAAGUGCAUCGGAAACCGGGCGACUUGAGUGCAGAAGAGGACAGUGGAACUCCAUGUGUAGCGGUGGAAUGCGUAGAUAUAUGGAAGAACACCAGUGGCGAAGGCGGCUGUCUGGUCUGCAACUGACGCUGAGGCUCGAAAGCAUGGGUAGCGAACAGGAUUAGAUACCCUGGUAGUCCACGCCGUAAACGAUGAGUGCUAGGUGUUGGAGGGCUUCCGCCCUUCAGUGCCGGAGCUAACGCAUUAAGCACUCCGCCUGGGGAGUACGACCGCAAGGUUGAAACUCAAAGGAAUUGACGGGGGCCCGCACAAGCGGUGGAGCAUGUGGUUUAAUUCGAAGCUACGCGAAGAACCUUACCAGGUCUUGACAUCUUGCGCUAACCUUAGAGAUAAGGCGUUCCCUUCGGGGACGCAAUGACAGGUGGUGCAUGGUCGUCGUCAGCUCGUGUCGUGAGAUGUUGGGUUAAGUCCCGCAACGAGCGCAACCCUUGUUACUAGUUGCCAGCAUUAAGUUGGGCACUCUAGUGAGACUGCCGGUGACAAACCGGAGGAAGGUGGGGACGACGUCAGAUCAUCAUGCCCCUUAUGACCUGGGCUACACACGUGCUACAAUGGACGGUACAACGAGUCGCAAACUCGCGAGAGUAAGCUAAUCUCUUAAAGCCGUUCUCAGUUCGGACUGUAGGCUGCAACUCGCCUACACGAAGUCGGAAUCGCUAGUAAUCGCGGAUCAGCAUGCCGCGGUGAAUACGUUCCCGGGCCUUGUACACACCGCCCGUCACACCAUGGGAGUUUGUAACGCCCAAAGUCGGUGGCCUAACCUUUAUGGAGGGAGCCGCCUAAGGCGGGACAGAUGACUGGGGUG
rnacentral:rRNA from 1 species